CCUACGGGAGGCAGCAGUGGGGAAUAUUGCACAAUGGGCGGAAGCCUGAUGCAGCGACGCCGCGUGAGGGAUGACGGCCUUCGGGUUGUAAACCUCUUUCAGCAGGGACGAAGCGUAAGUGACGGUACCUGCAGAAGAAGCACCGGCUAACUACGUGCCAGCAGCCGCGGUAAUACGUAGGGUGCGAGCGUUGUCCGGAAUUACUGGGCGUAAAGAGCUCGUAGGCGGUUUGUCACGUCGUCUGUGAAAUCCUAGGGCUUAACCCUGGACGUGCAGGCGAUACGGGCUGACUUGAGUACUACAGGGGAGACUGGAAUUUCUGGUGUAGCGGUGGAAUGCACAGAUAUCAGGAAGAACACCGAUGGCGAAGGCAGGUCUCUGGGUAGUAACUGACGCUGAGGAGCGAAAGCAUGGGUAGCGAACAGGAUUAGAUACCCUUG
rnacentral:rRNA from 1 species